ensembl:lncRNA
AUGGUCUUCAGGGUGUCCUACGCUGAGGUUAAGGGCAGCAUGAUGUCCUGGAGAGCUGCCUGGAGAAGGUCCUGACUUUGAAAGCCUUUCUGGUUGCCUAGUGUGCUGCUGGACCUUAGAAGGAGAGGAGCGGGCGGAGAGAGACACCCCUGGAUCGAAAAGUAUAGAGGCAACAUCGUGAGGCCUGCAUGGCUGGAAGAAGAGAGCCGAGGGGUGCCAUCAGAUGUGUUGUGUGGAGGGACGUUCUGGGGACACUGAGGGCAAAGACAAAAUUCCCAGGAAAUAGGAGGCACAUGACGGCAGAGGUGGAGAGGUGGGCAGCAGUCUGUUCCUGCCGGAUAGGAGAGCGUGGUGCAGACUUCAAAGUCAUCUCACUUAAAGCCUGCUAAUUAGCACCAUGAGAAAGAAAUUCUGAAAGUCCUUGAUAAACUAUUUCUUCCCACUAUUCCCGACUGCUGCUAUACAGCCCUCCAGCUCAAGCUGGCGCUGGAGCCUGGCCUGCACCCCCCAGCUCGUUCUUUCCCUUGCCUGGUUCUCUGGUUGGACUCCACACUCAAGGAAGCAGAAAGUCCAGAAACUCCCUUGAGAUGGGAGGCCCCCACACUGGAAGAGGCGUCUACUGUCUCUGGUUGCCUUCUGCUCACCCACAGGCCUUUGGGACCUGGCACUGGGCACUCCAGCAGAGGAACUUUGGGAACACCUUCGUCUCCAUCCAAAGCGGGAAGGCAGAAUCACAGAUAAACCUGCAUGUGAGGACACAGGACAUCCAGCCGUUAAAAGGAAUUCACAUGCCUCUACAUCUGAACAGAUCCUAAAGACACUGCUGAAAAACCAGAAGUGUAUGAGUAUAUUCAUACUGACCCCUCCUAAGACCUCACAUGUACUAAGGAAUAAACAUACAAACCUCACAGGAAUGAAAACGGGAGAUCUGCUCUGUAGCAGUUACUACCGAGAAGGACUUGAUUUGGGCCCUGGAAUUGGGAAUGGUGAUAAAGAGGACUUGAAGUUAAAAAAAAAAAAAAAAAGAAAAAAAGACAAAUGUAAAGUUAAUGGUAUUAUUAAGUGAUAUAACUGAAAGUAAACAAUUUUUUUCCAAGAGAUAUGAUGAAUGAUGGCCUAAUCCUCUUUACUGCACUGUUUAGAAAGUAUACUAUUUUAUCCUCUCUUCUCUUUCCCUUUGUCUUUAUCUUGUGGAUAAUUGCAAAUUCAUACCAAUCAGGUAUUGUGAACAACAAGCAGAAAUGAUAUGUUCUGAAAUAUUUGAAAGCUGGGACUCAUUGCACCAAAAAGAAAAUCCAUAAAAUAGUUUUUAUGCUUAUUAAAUGAGGGUGGGUGCAUUUUAGAUAGUCUGCUAACUUCUGGAUUGCUGGAUUUUGUAAUUACUUUUGUUAACAUAAUAAAGACUUUGGUUCUGGCAUGCCUAAAAUGUGCUAGUUAGGAUUUUGCUCUGAAUUUCCAGGCUGGAAUCUGGAUUGUAUAAUCAAAGGCAAGUUUUUCACCUAAAGCAGCGUUGAAAUGUGUUGACUAAUAAAGAUAUCCCUCAAUUAGAAUUAGCUGCAUUUUCUUAAUCCUUUGACUCAGUAUUUACAAGUUUCUCCAGCAAAGCUGUCCCUCUCCUUAGCAGGGGAGGAAAGGAUGAGCCUGAACUCAAAUCUAACGGGG